rnacentral:rRNA from 1 species
UACGAAGGGGCUAGCGUUGUUCGGAAUCACUGGGCGUAAAGCGCACGUAGGCGGAUCUUUAAGUCAGAGGUGAAAUCCCAAGGCUCAACCUUGGAACUGCCUUUGAUACUGGGGAUCUUGAGUCCGGGAGAGGUGAGUGGAACUGCGAGUGUAGAGGUGAAAUUCGUAGAUAUUCGCAAGAACACCAGUGGCGAAGGCGGCUCACUGGCCCGGUACUGACGCUGAGGUGCGAAAGCGUGGGGAGCGAACAGG